rnacentral:rRNA from 1 species
GACGAACGCUGGCGGCGUGCUUAACACAUGCAAGUCGAACGGUAAGGCCCUUCGGGGUACACGAGUGGCGAACGGGUGAGUAACACGUGGGUGAUCUGCCCUGCACUUCGGGAUAAGCCUGGGAAACUGGGUCUAAUACCGGAUAGGACUCCGGACUGCAUGGUCUGGGGUGGAAAGCUUUGCGGUGUGGGAUGGGCCCGCGGCCUAUCAGCUUGUUGGUGGGGGGAUGGCCUACCAAGGCGACGACGGGUAGCCGGCCUGAGAGGGUGACCGGCCACACUGGGACUGAGAUACGGCCCAGACUGCUACGGGAGGCAGCAGCGGGGAAUAUUGCACAAUGGGCGCAAGCCUGAUGCAGCGACGCCGCGUGAGGGAUGACGGCCUUCGGGUUGUAAACCUCUUUCAGCACAGACGAAGCGCAAGUGACGGUAUGUGCAGAAGAAGGACCGGCCAACUACGUGCCAGCCGCCGCCGUAA